UACAGAGGUCCCAAGCGUUGUUCGGAUUCAUUGGGCGUAAAGGGUGCGUAGGUGGCGCCGUAAGUCAGGUGUGAAAUCUCGGGGCUUAACUCCGAAACUGCAUUUGAUACUGCGGUGCUUGAGGACUGGAGAGGAGACUGGAAUUUACGGUGUAGCGGUGAAAUGCGUAGAUAUCGUAAGGAAGACCAGUGGCGGAGGCGGGUCUCUGGACAGUUCCUGACGCUGAGGCGCGAAGGCCAGGGGAGCAAACGGG
rnacentral:rRNA from 1 species